UACUGCAAUAUGUUUGUGCCUCUUUGAAGUAUUUGCACCGCUAUUUGAUAAGUUCCUACGUGGAACGGAACGUUCCACAGCUGUCAAAAUAAUUUUACAGAACCUAUUGUAAUUGUUUAAGGGUUCAUUGACAUCAUACUCGAAAUCCAAAAGUAAUUGAUUAACAGUUUCAGAAUAAAGAUCCCAAUUAACGAGACAUGCUGCAACGCUCAGAAUUCUUACAGAAUUUAGCUAAAUGUCCAUACCUCAAGCACCGGUAGCAUUGUUUAACUGGUGGUAUAUAUGGAGUGACAUUGUGGCGCCAACCUCCAAUAUCCAGAUAUUCAGGUAAUACAGAUGCAGCAAAAGUAAUUGCCACGGUUAGAGUUGGCUGUAACACAUAUCCAUGAGUCAAGGUAUUUUUUCUUAAAAUUCUUUUAAUAGCAAUAAUUUUCUUAGAACUCGAUAUCAUAGUAUAUAUUUUUUUAUUAGAUAUAUUUGUAGGUACAUUUCUAAUAACGCCUGUAACUUCUGUUGAAGAAGCAGGAAUACUGGCCUUAAAAUGGUAGUCAUUUAAAAAAGUUUUAUUAUUUAAAAAAGCAUUGGCUAAGUCUGGCUUUUGAAAGUAUACUCCGAUUUUGAAUUUAUUUAUAGAUCUAAGAUAAGUUACCCCUUUAUUAAAUCGUUUUAAACAGGAGGAGAGUGAGAGCAAGUCUCUGGAUCCAAUGGUUUUCUGACUAUCUGAGGAUUCUACAAAGACAACAAAUUCUGUCCCAGGGGAUUCCUCGGGAUAUCUUCUAAUAUAAUCUGUGACGUAGUAAGGUUUAUACUUAUCGGCCUUAUCAAUUUCAGAUUCUGAGUCAGUAGAAGUAUCUUCCGAAUAUAUAUCCUUGUCAUUACAAGGUUCAUGGUCUACAUCACCUGAAUCGUCAUCUUUUUUUUUCCUUUUUCUACAACUGCGCUUCCCCAUGAAUGCUAAUUAUAUUAUUGUCGCUGAAUUUAGUGAAAAUAUAAUAUUUUAUUCAAUAAUAAGAAUUGAUAGAGAUAGUUUUAAUAAAUUAAUAAAAAAAAAUUAAAAAACCCGCUUGUUCUUAUUCGAGUUUCCCGCCUUUUUCACCUCAGAACUAAUUUUGAAAUUGACAGUAGACACUAAUAAAUUUUUUUUGGAGAUAAAAUCAUUUUGCUGUACAGCUAUAACGUGUUAUCAUAGUAAAUUUAGCAUUAAUACCGAAUCCAGUUACAUAUAUCAUCAUCAUAUCAGCCGGUAUACAAUGGGGCGUAUCCCGAGGUGCCAAUUGUCUAAACAAGUCUCUCAAUCCAAUAUUUUAAUUUGAUAAUUUCGCGAAAUUACUGUUAAUAAUUAAUGACGGCUUAAAAUCGAUCCCAUUGGCUUAUAGUACCUCUUAUUUGGUUUAUUAUGUUUGUAUAAUAAAAAUACUAUUUAUCACUAGACCAUUUUAUUUAUUUAAAAAUAAAAAGCUCAUUAAUUACAUAAAUUUAUGUGCGUAUUAAAUGAGAGGUGAAUAAAAGAUAAAAAAAACAUGACAAAUAAAGUUUAUCAAAUAAUGAAAAUGGUACGGUUUACAGUGGACAUUGUUAAGUACAUCUAUCGUGAAACGUAAAAGAAAUACAUGAUGAGAUAAAUCCUGUAAAAUUGUAUAUUCGUAUUACUAAAAAGAUCUAUAAAUGCAAAACUCUAAAUGAGUAUACAAUAGAAAAAAAAUACAUCCAAAGAAAAAUGUUUAUAUAGCUCAUUCGUUCAUAUUUUUCCUAUAGUUUAAAUGGUUUGUUAACCUUAAACCUAUGGUAAUUAAACAAGUACAAAAUGAUAUUUCAUCUUAUAAAUAUCUAUUCAUAGCCUAUAACUAGAGUCAGUUGUAUAAUUCAUUAAAUAUUAAGUUAAUUAUAUUUCAUAGUGUACACACCAUCUAUUCAUGUCGAGUAACCCAUCAUAUUAAAAACAGUUAUUCGAUUCGGUUCUUACCGUGUUACGGCUUGGCUUUUA